CUUAAUGGGCGAUCACCAACAAUCACUAUCACCUGUUUCACUUGUUCACACAAAGAUGGUUAACAUAAUCAAGAAGAUUGGCGUUAGUGAAGUUGGCACAAAGAAAAAGAAGCGGCAUUCUUGAAGGAAGUGAUGUCAAUUACUUGCAGUGAAAAGCUUGACUUGUGGAGAGUUGGUUUUAUAAGAUUUAGUCUAGAAGUUGAGGAAAAUUAAUUCGAAUU